rnacentral:rRNA from 1 species
AGAAUUUGAUCUUGGUUCAGAUUGAAUGCUGACGGCGUGGAUGAGGCAUGCAAGUCGAACGAAGUCGCAAGACUUAGUGGCGGAAGGGUUAGGAAUACAUAGGCAACCUACCUUUAACUUUGGAAUAACGGUUGGAAACGACCGCUAAUACCAAAUGUGGUGAGAGAGAGGCAUCUUUUUCUCAUUAAAGUAGGGGAUCUUCGGACCUUGCGGUUAAAGAGGGGCCUAUGCGAUAUCAGCUAGUUGGUGAGGUAAUGGCUCACCAAGGCUAAGACGUCUAGGCGGAUUGAGAGAUUGACCGCCAACACUGGGACUGAGAUACUGCCCAGACUUCUACGGAAGGCUGCAGUCGAGAAUCAUUCGCAAUGGGCGAAAGCCUGACGAUGCGACGCCGUGUGAGCGAUGAAGGCCUUAGGGUUGUAAAGCUCUUUCGGCUGGGAACAAGAGAUGCUAGCUAAUAUCUAGCAAAUUUGAGGGUACCAGCAAAAGAAGCACCGGCUAACUCCGUGCCAGCAGCUGCGGUAAUACGGAGGGUGCAAGCAUUAAUCGGAUUUAUUGGGCGUAAAGGGCGCGUAGGCGGAACGGAAAGUCAGAUGUGAAAUCCUGGGGCUCAACCCCAGAACUGCAUUUGAAACUUCCAUUCUAGAGGGUAGGCGGAGAAAACGGAAUUCCACAAGUAGCGGUGAAAUGCGUAGAUAUGUGGAAGAACACCGGUGGCGAAGGCGGUUUUCUAGCUUAUUCCUGACGCUGAGGCGCGAAAGUAAGGGGAUCAAACAGGAUUAGAUACCCUGGUAGUCCUUACUGUAAACUAUGUAUACUUGGUGUAACCGGACUCAACCCUGGUUGUGCCGUAGCUAACGCGAUAAGUAUACCGCCUGGGGAGUACGCUCGCAAGGGUGAAACUCAAAAGAAUUGACGGGGACCCGCACAAGCAGUGGAGUAUGUGGUUUAAUUCGAUGCAACGCGAAGAACCUUACCCAGACUUGACAUACAGUGGACAGUCACAGAAAUGUGAUCUCUCUUCGGAGCCGCUGAACAGGUGCUGCAUGGCUGUCGUCAGCUCGUGCCGUGAGGUGUUUGGUUAAGUCCAGCAACGAGCGCAACCCUUAUCACUAGUUGCCAACACGUAAUGGUGGGAACUCUAGUGAGACUGCCUGGGUUAACCAGGAGGAAGGUGAGGAUGACGUCAAGUCCGCAUGGCCCUUAUGUCUGGGGCUACACACGUACUACAAUGGUCGGUACAAAAGGCAGCGAAACCGUGAGGU